rnacentral:lncRNA from 1 species
AUGUUUGAGACCACUGAGUCCAGUGCCUGUGGUCAAAAUGGUUCCUUGGUGCCUGGGAGCAAGAGGGUAGGUGGAGAAUGGAGAGAAAAACAAGCUCUGCUUUCAGCCUACUCAACGCUGAUAAGUUCCAGUUGUGUGGACUCCGCUGCCUCUGGGAUGGUCUUCCCUCAGGGAGGCUCAGCAUUCACCUCCUGCGGCUGCUCCAGCUUCCCUAAGCACCUGCUUGUUCAGGAGUCCAAGCAGAUUUGCUUGCACCUUGCUGAGCAGAUUCCCAGCCUCCUCUGUAGAGCCACAGACACCUUAGAUGAGUCUAGACAGCUGGUGGAUUUGGGGGCUCCCUUUGGUGUGUUUCGCCUGCCUCCCUACACUCCCAGGGCCCAUGCAUAUGACCACCAUGUGUCUAGGAAAGCUCUCCACCCAUCAGAAUUUGGUCAUGUUUGGUCACAGCUGUCCAGACAUCUGCAGGUGGCUCUCGACGCACUGGCUUGGGAGCUCUUGGUGGUGCCCUGGCGUACUAUUACCUUGGGGAGUCAGCCCUUGACUUAUGCCUCUUUCUCUUGAUGAGUUCUAAGCCAAUCAAGGAGUGACUGAAGGGUGACCUGCUGGAAACUUCUCUGCUUGAGGCUGAGCUUCCCUGCCUCAGGGGACAGAACACACUCAGAGCAGAGGACAAACACCUGCUCACCAGGAGGCCCAGCAAGCACAGAACAGUACCUUUCUCUUACCCACUGGGGCACUGACAACAUUACAGCUGGACCCCAUCCCAGCUGUUAGACAGGCUACCCAUCCUUGAGGACAGAGUUGAGAGGCAGGCUGGACAAGUGGAGCAGGGAGAAAACUUCUUAGGGGUAGACAGACUGUCGCAGAGCUCCCUAAGCCCAACCUUCUUGAUCACAGCUCUGAAGCUCCUGACCUUGAGAUCAGCUGGGUCCAGGGAAUGGACAGCAAUAAUAGCUCUGACAUGCUCUCUUCCCUCUUGGCUCCUCUCUACCCCUUGCCACUGUAUCAGAGCUAAUGCCACUUCUCCAUCCAGAACUUGCUUCCAAUAAAGAAUCAGAGAGAAGAUAUAGGCAUAGAUCUUUUUUCUUUUCUUUUUUGGUACCAGGGAUCGAACUUGGGUCCUGGUACUUUCAAGUCAGGCAGUGAGCUAAAGUGAACUAAAUCCCUGGCCCUAGGCAUAGUUUUUAUUACCUUCAGGAGUUUAUUUGGUCCAGUCCACGAGUGGGGUCCAGUUCCAAGGUGCCAUCAGGAAUCAGGAGUUCUGCAAUGGCCACACAGAAGCAGCACAGGCAGGCUUGGCAGUGUGCAUGCACCUGAAGGUGCUCUGAACUAGCUUUCCUCAACAGAUGUGGAAAAAGAAAGCCACAGCACGUGGCCUCCUCCCCAGGGCUGUGCCGUGAUUUGCACCUUGAACACAAAUGGCAGAAUAUUUUAAACAGAAACACUAGGCUGAGUCCGAGGUACUCAUGGGACGACAUCAAUUCUUUCAACCAGUUUAACUGAAGUAAUAACAAGAACAGCAGCAAAAAUGCCACUGACGGUGAUAAAAGUGGUGGUGAUGGUGGUUAUGAUAAUGGUGACAUUAGCAGUGACGGUGACAUUGAUGGUGAGUGCAUGGCAUGCUAAGUCUAUGCCAGGGACAAUGUUCUCUCCCUCCUUAUGACAAGGGAAGCACUGAGAAGCAUUUUGGAGAGUGGUCCAGCUUAAGCAGUGACAAAUUAGUGGAUGCUUACUCCCUGCUGUCCUAAGGAGUGCUCAAUGUAUUGUCCUCAAAACUGCAGACGGAGUCAGGGAAUACUCUCAGGAUUUCUCCCCUAUUCACUUCCAGAAGUUCUCUGUUUGCCUAUUUGUGAGUCAUUUAUGAAUAACCAGUGGGGAGCCUCGUCACCGAGAUACAUCCACCACACUUGGCUCUGCCCGGGGCUGCAGACGUCGUCUCCCAAGGUGGUACAAACAAACAAUUAUCACCGUCUUCACAGAUCCUGCACUCAAAAUUGCUUGUCGGACUUGGGAAUAGCACUUUUCUUUUGCAAGAAGAUCAUGUCUAUGUGUGCUGCAAUUGGACUCUGCUUUGGUUUGUGUCAUUGCUAAGAUGUAAUAAGGUUAGCCAGGAUUGAAAUAACUGUCACCGAGUCUCUUGAAAGCAAGACUGCCUUCGGCAGGGAAUAAAAAGUGGGUGAAAAUGCAUGUAAUGGAUUUGCAUUCAGAGCUGGCCAAGGACUUGGUGCUGAGGAAAAUGAGUGGCCCAGCAGGCCUUCCUUGCCCAGAGUCUGGGUAGCCCUGUGUGCCGGGGUAGGGAUGUUUCCCUGCUUCUUAUCAAUGCAUCUGGUGUCCAUCAAAGAGCCUAGUCUGGGUGAUGGGAGGGUGUGUGGGAUUCAUGUGGAGAGGGAAUGGAGACUUUAAAAUACACACAUGGCAGCAUGAAUUCCAGCUCCCUUACUUGCUGAGCAUGUGGUCUUGGACCUGUUUCAGAUCUGUAAGUGGAGAAAGUGCAUUGUGACCUCCUGGAUUAUCAAAAAUGCUUGAUGAGAUGAGGUGUAUGAACCAUGAGAAGUCACAGGUGUUGGAAGCUGGAGGUCAGGGGUGUUCUCCCCUCUCACUCUGCCCCAAUCUGGCAUGACCAUCUGAGUCUUUGGACCUCCUCUGAGUCGCCUGCCUCCAGGUCAGUCUGCCACCCCAUUGUCGCUGUGUUCUCAUUCAGCCCACGCUUGUGUUAACCCCACAUCUGGUUAUCUUUGAGGGUUUAGUGAGAUUCCAACAACAUAAUGUACCAGAGAGACAUGAAGGAGCUGAUGUAAGAUUAAAAAUUUCCACUUUCAGAUAAGGACUAUUUACUCAUUAAAUUUAAACCCUAUUUCCAGGAAGUCUAACCCUACACCUUGUCUCUGAUACUUCCUUCUUGGUGUGAACUCCACAAAGUUGUUAUUGUUUAAGUCCAAAAACAGCUGAAUAGUUGGCAAUUUUAUAAGGUUCAGGUCUGCAGCUUUAAACUCAUCUCACUUCUCCAAGGUCCAGGGCUUUGUGUGCUCGCUAGAAAUCACCCCACCCCACCAGGCAGUCAUGGACUGCCGAAUGCUGAGUACCUCUUGGCUAACUGUGAGCCUUUGCAACAGUACUCUGGGCUGUAUGCUAGCUGGCUGUCCCUGCAUGAGGGGAAUCUCUCUCUAUGACCCCCACCUGCAAGGCCACUGGACAUGGUACACAGGCUGCAUCACCCAUUGAUCAAAAUAUCUUUUAAAAGAGCAGUGCAAUGAUUUCCGAGUUGGAAACAGGCAAACUUCUUCUUGUCUGACCUGCCACCUUAUGCAGGAAUGCCAUGGAAAGAGCCACAGAAGAUUGUUUGGGAGUCUGGAUUUUUCUCCCUCUGUAGUGACCUCAAUGUUGCAGCCUGAGGCAGCCCUGGGCUUCGAACACAAAGGACAGACUCCUGCAUGGGCUCACUUGAAUCGAUCACAUGUGAACUGUGAGGUGUAGUACGUGUGUGUGGGAUGCGGUAUGGUAUGUGGUAUGAUGUGUGUAGUCAGACGACUGAAUUUACUGUCCCUGACUCCCUGGGCACACUUUCCAGAGCCACAGAGCAGAGCAGAGGACACGCCCCAGCAGUGGGGCAGGUGCAGUGUCGCUAUCUCCAGUCCAGUGCUGCUCCAGCUUAUGGAGGUCACUCUGCGCUCACCUGGCUGUCCUGUUAGGACUUCCGCUCUUCCUCCUGCAUGUUGGGUCAGCAUAGGCUGCUACGCCAGCUCUUAGCUCUCCACCCAUUUAAUUCUCGGUUCUUUUAAAAAAACACUUAUUAAGCAGAAUUUCAGACAAUAUUAAUAAGAGCCGUUCCACAGCAGGCGGGGACUCCUCUGAGAUAUCUCUGCCUGUAGGCAUGCUAGUUUUAUUGGGUUGAAUUCACCCAAUUGCCCACUUCUCUUCCUCUGUACAUAGGAAAUAUCUGUUGGUUGGAUGGUUGAUUUUAUUUGUCCUGAAAUUACUUUUCCUGGCUUUGGAACAUUCCAGGGUUUAAUGAACAGUCAAGGGCUUCUUCCUUUGCCCACAUUUUAUGACACUACUCAACAUACUUCAGUGUUUGACAAAUGCAAAGGUCUGUGAUUAUUGAAAGCACUUUAAUUAUAGCAACAAUUACCUGUUUAUCACCUAGUGGUGCUCGACCAGGCAGUAGAGCCUCCUCCUCCCACCCUCCUGGCCACCGCUCCAGCCCGGUUUGCAACUACAUCGUGAUUUAUAUGGCUCUAGGGCCUCCAGGUGCCUGCCACAUGUCUCUCUGAGCCUUGUUUCUUCUUGUCGGAAGGAGGGUAAGACAGGCUUUGGUUCCACCUCCAAAGUCACACAUGGGAAGCCUCAGAUGAGGGCCUUCUGCACCAGGCCAGGCCCCUUCUGCCUGUAGCGUUUUAUGAUGCUGUUUGGUUCCUAUCUGGGGAAGGCACCUGGGGCUCCCCACUUUCCACACACAUUCCCUCUGACACCCCUAAAGAGGCCAGUGACUGCCCUUCCCACACCACAGGCAUCCCUGAUGGAGCAGCGGUCCCCAAGGGAGGGGUCCUUACCAAUGUCCCGGAUGGAGAGGAGAGGUCCUUAUCUGAUGUCCUGGAUGGAGGGGUCCUUACAGGUGUCUGUUUGGGGGGUGAUUACAUGAUGUCCUGGAAGGGGUUCCUCUCUGGUUGAAUGGGCCUUCCUUGACAUCCGGGUGCCAACUGAGGAACUCCAUUUAGAUGAGAUCGGGCAUGUUCAGGGUGGUAUGGCCAUAGAUGAGGAACUCCAUUUAGGAAAAGGGUGCCAAGCUGUGGCUUCUGUCCUCAAGCAGAGCACACAAGCCCCUCUUCAUGUCAACAGGUAUCCUGCUGGGCAUCCUUAGGAUCCAAGUGCUUAAUGCAUUUGUGAUUCUAUCUUGGUUUGGUGUUUUGAGAGCAAAGGCCUGGACACUCGGGGUGGAACCUUAGCAAGGAUCCGGUUGCCAUGGCCACCUAGUCUUUCUCUGCCACUGGUGGUGACCAGCAGUACUGGCCCUACUCAGCCUGAGGCUGCUGGGGUAAAUGUGCCUACAGAGGACAUUCUUCAUGGGACUAUAUAUGUGGCUCACAAUAUAUAGUCCUCUGGCUCGACUGGACUCCAACCAUAAUGUGGACCGCAGAGGAAUCCCUUCUAGCCUCUCUCGUGCAUGGCACGGAAGGCAGAAGGACUCCAGGUCUCCUAAGUCUGGGCCCACUUGGGUGUCACCUGGUAUGCGGUCCUACUCUCUGGCAGCUUAGUUCUGCAGUGCCCGCCGAUAGACCCUGACCACAGGGGGUUGGAACCUCCCCUGUCCUUGGCCCUCUUUCCUGUUCUGUCCCUCAUGCUGUGUCAGGAGACGCAGAGAGCUGGCACCUUGGCACCUCCCCAGUCCGUG